rnacentral:misc_RNA from 1 species
GAGAGGCUGAAAAAGCUUACCCCAAAAUCGGAGAAUGACAUACUCAGCUUCUCAUGGAUGGAAUUAGCAUUGAAGCUGCUGUACGAAACUCACAACGAUGUAAAAACCCUUAUAGAAGAGCUUGGGUUCCCCGUAUCUGAUUGGGAUGAGAAAUGGCUAGAUGAGUACCUGAACAUCAGUGUGAAAUUACUUGAUAUAUGCAAUGAUUUUAGCUCUGAGCUCUCACAGUUGAAUCAAGGUCAUCUGAUACUUCGGUGUGCCUUGCACAAUCUGGAAUCUACAUCUUCCAACCUGUUUGUUCAUGCCCGUUCUUCGCUAGAUGCAUGGAAUCAACAUAUUAGUUCCAGAACCUCCAGAGUUGAAAGCUGUGCUCCUAUUUUGGACUGUCUUGAGGAAUCACUUGAUCUUCCAAAGGUUAAGAACUCAUCCAAAGGCAAGGUUUUGAUGCAUGUGUUGUACGGAGUGAAGGUGGUGACUUU